rnacentral:rRNA from 1 species
UACGGAGGGAGCGAGCGUUGUUCGGAAUUACUGGGCGUAAAGCGUAUGUAGGCGGCUUCGUAAGACAGGUGUGAAAUCCCAGGGCUUAACCCUGGAACUGCAUUUGUGACUGCGAGGCUUGAGUAUCGGGAGAGGUUGGCGAAUUCCCAGUGUAGCAGUGAAAUGCGCAGAUAUUGGGAGGAACGACCGAUGGCGCUAAGCAGCCAA